rnacentral:lncRNA from 1 species
CAGCCUGAAGCGAAUGACUAGCAGCCCCAGGGCUCCUAACCCCAGUUUGACAACCGAAGCCAACACUUGCAACCCUGGCCGAUCCAUGCACAACUCGUGAGAAUGGGUUUGGCGGAUCCAAGAGCUGGUGAGGCUGAGCCCGGGCCCCAGCCCUGGCCUGUGGACUGCGGCUCCCAUCGGGAAGGGUGUGUGUGAAGAGAGAGCUCUGCGACCUGGCAGCCAGGUGCCAGCGGUUCCCGCGUCCUCCACCGCCGCCGCGGGGCCCAGCGCGUCCCGCUCGUCCCUCCCUUCCCGGCCCGCGCUAGGCACAGAGGGCAGCAAGUGCCCGCCGGGUGACCGAUCCCGCACCACCCGCCGACCUCCGUGCGUCCCAGCCCCGCGGCCCCAGCUCAAGGCCGCCCCCUCGGGUCGGGGCGGACACCGCUGCGGCCACGAGGCGGCGGCGGGCAGGGGGCCGGGCUGCCCGUUCACCCCGCCAGCUGUGAGAGCCGAGGCCCUCGAGCCGUCCUCUCAGGCCGCGCGGCGGAGCGCGGGGCGCGGCUGAGGCUAGGCCCUGCGAACGAGCUAACGAGCGUGCGAACGAGCGGACGCAGAGGCGAGAGCCGAGACCAGCCAGCCGCGGUCUUCGACCCUACCGGGCGACCAGUGCCCGCCAGCCCGAGCGGCCG